rnacentral:rRNA from 1 species
UACGUAGGGCGCGAGCGUUGUCCGGAUUUAUUGGGCGUAAAGAGCUCGUAGGCGGCUUGUCGCGUCGUCCGUGAAAUCCCCAGGCUCAACCUGGGAACUGCGUCCGAUACUGGAUGGCUUGAAUCCGGGAGAGGGAUGCAGAAUUCCAGGUGUAGCGGUGAAAUGCGUAGAUAUCUGGAGGAAUACCGGUGGCGAAGGCGGCAUCCUGGACCGGCAUUGACGCUGAGGAGCGAAAGCCAGGGGAGCAAACGGG